CAGAUCCAUAUGGCACGGGACAGGGACGCUGCUGCCCUGGUGCAGCAAGCAGGGCUCCUCUGCAUCCUCCCACCCCUCUUAUUUCCCCGCACCUCCCCGACUGAAGCCAACCUCCAGCGCUGCUAAUCCAUCCCAUGGCAGCAUCCCGCUGCUCGCACCUGUGGGGCACGCCGGCCAGCUGGUGUUAAUUGCUGAAAGUUGCUUUCUGAAGGCAGCCCUCCUUGCACAGCAUCCCGCAUCCUAUCCUGCUAAGGAAGGUGCGUUCCCUCUGCAGGAGCCGGCUGGAGCAGGAGCGCAGGAGAUCGGUGGGGAUGCCGGAGCGCAGCAGUGGGUUGGCACCGGCAGCCCCAUGGAGUUUGAGCCGGGCACGGCGGGCUUCUUCCCCCCCGAGGAAAUAUCUCAGGGCAGAUCUAUGCUCUACCAGCUCCCUUAACACCAUACGAGUUUUUAGUAUUUGCAGCUCACUUCCUGUAUGAGAUACAGCCAGUUCCACCACAGCCAUACAGAUCCAGGACCUGUUGGGGAAGCGCCGGGAAGGUUGGGAAAUCCUGCCUAGUGGCCAGGGCUCCAGGAUGCCCAUCCAUGGUGAAGUCAGAGCGCCCAGGGCUCAAACAUCCUAGAACACAUCAGAAAUCUACCAGCAUCACAGUGCUGAGCCAAAGCGUCCCGGCAGUGCGCAAUGAGCAGUGGGGAAACGUGGUGGUUAAAGACAGCCUCCCAAGAGCCUGGCGGGAUUGACGAGAGCGGAGGCAUCCAACGAGACAAGGAGCGCGGCUGUUUCUGCUGCACUAAGAAGAAAGCCACAAUUGGACACAGUGCACUCAGAGCAAACUUGAGGACUUUUCAUCCCCACGAUGGGGCUGGAAGGUUCUGCUCUUCAAUAUUAUGUUCCAGCACUUCAGCAGAAAGUAAACCAGGCACAAGAAAACAGCACUGGCUUAUAAAGGAGGAAAAAAAAAAAAAAAAGAGCUAACGUAUCACUUAUGCUGAAUAUACAGCACCAAGCCCUUCAGUCUCCAUUUUAAGUUCCUGAGCACAUGAUAAAAACCACGGGUACAAGCCACCAAAUAUUGGAGGGGAAAUGAGCAACCCCCGGUGCAGCACCUGUGCCCCCCUCCUGCCAAGGAAAGCUCAGAUUUGAGCAAGAAACACAGCCUAAACAUUAAAAAAAAAAGGUAAUAAAAAAAAUAGGAAACAAAACAACACACACACACCCCUCAAGAAAAAAAAAAACAGCACACAAAACAAAACAGAGCAUUUCACAAACUUGGCACCCAAGCUCCAAAGGACUCGUGAGGGAAUACAAAUAGCUUCCAAUCUCUAAAUAUUCAAAGGAUUAGUAGGGCAGUAAGAAAAUAAAUAAAUAAAAAAUAUUAAAUAAGGAGUCUGGCUCCGACCCGACUGGAAAAUGUCUUUCUGAGCCAAGCUGACACAGCUUGGCUCGGGGAGCUGUUUUGUUUUCACACUGUAGUAGCGCAGGAGCGGUGCCCGCUGCCUUCCCGGGACAGCCCCGCGCUGUUUCUUCCCCUGGUCACUGAAUGAACUGCAGCACGAGAGCAGAGCCCACGCGGGAGCCCAACAGCACCACGCGGGACACGACACGGCCACGACCCGCAGCACGGCCCGCCCGCCGGGACGCGUGGCUGAGAGUGAAAUCGGGCUGAGGUUUUCAGAAAGGACUUUCUGCGGCGCUGCCGGAUCGCAAUAUCAAAAGCGUCCAGUCAUAAUGGCAGAGAGGUAGAGGAACUCUCCGAGCGUGGCCACAGUCAUAGCGGGAGCCGGUGCUGCCCCAGGGCAGGCAGCCCCCCUCUGUGUGAGCCACGGAUGGGCGCUCUGCACGCCUCCAGGCUGCCCCAACGCUGGGACUGCGGCCGCCAGACGGCUGUAAUGAGUAAUUCAGGCUGCUGGGGAUGGGGCCAUCAAUAGAGCGGGACCGUAGGUGGUGGGUGCCCCACCCUUGGGGACACGUGAGGUCUGAGCAUCUCUGCUCGCUGCAGGGCAGUUGGACCUGGUGGCCUUGAUGGUCCCUUCCAACCUCCUCUAAUUGUGCCAAAGCGAAGUCUGUAGCCCGAAGCCCAGGAGGUGUCUGCCAAGUUUCACUGCCCAAUGUCACCCAGGGAGCAGGAGCUGCCACCUCCACCCAGCACCCACACCCAGGCGCAGCCCUGAGAAACAGCGUGGCACAGGGAUGAUGCAUGGCCCAGCAAAGCAACGCAGCCGUGCCCACACUCACAGGUGGAAACCAAACCACCUUCCAGGCUUUGUAACGCAAAUCCCCUCCAACACAACCACAGGCCAGGCAGGCAGAGAGGAGCACCCAGCCCGCACCACACCAACACACACACCUCCACCUUCUCGCUUCAAGGCUUUCCCUGCUGCACCCAGAGGAUUUCCCCCUUUUCCAUGCAAGGCUGAGACGAAACCGCUCCUUUCCCCUCCGUGCCUCACCCGAAACCAGCAAGGACUUAAGAGCAGCGGGGCCGUGCAGCUCACAAACACGUAUGCACGCACGCACACACACAAACAGCCGCCUCCCCCGACUCGCUGCCGGGUGAUGGAAGCGCACACUGCGCAGGAGAGCACAGCGACGUCCCGCAGGCACGGGGAGCGCUCACCCGCAGGGCGCUGCCUGCCCCGCGCAAGCAAACCCACGGGUCGGCUCCCACCGAGAGCCAAACAUCCGCCGGAGAUUCCUCGGGCAGCAGCAGACAGCUGCCUGCGGGGCUCGGGUGACAUUCUUCGGGCACUCCCACGGGCAGGCCGCCCCCAAGCACGGCACGGCGCGGCUUUCCGUGCCCGCAAAGCGCAGCGCGCCCCAGGCGGAGCGGCGGGCGCCGUCCGGGCGGUGCCACGCGAGCGCUCGUUGUGAAACUCGCAGCAAGCCGUAAGGACGGCGGUAAGGUCAGAAAACCUUUCCUAGGGGCACGUCGCAGUCAGCGCUGCAGCUGUAACCACAGACCUUCACCAAGAGGGAAAAAAAAAAAAAAACAACAACCAAAGCAAACAGCACCGCGCGGCCAGACGCGCCCGGCCGGCCGCCAUCCCCGCAGCGCUACCUGCCAGCCGCCGCCCGCCCCGCGCCGCCCCGCCCGGCACUCACCCAUGGCGCUCAGGUAGUGGCUGACGGCCUGGCACGGCGGGCUGGGGGUCUGCGUGGCCUUAUCGCAGCUCAUGGGCGCGGGGCUGCGCUCGGCCUCGAAGGAGAAGUACCCGCUGGAGGAGCGCGGCAGCAGCGGGGACCUCCGCACGAAGAAGAAGAGCGGCGAGCGGAUGGCGAACGGGCCGGGGCUGCCGGGCGAGGCGGGCCGGGCGGCGCCGGGCAGCGCGGCGGGGGCUCCGGGCCGCAG
rnacentral:lncRNA from 1 species